rnacentral:rRNA from 1 species
GGACAGGGGUGAGCCGGUGCAGUGAUAACUGGUAGGGUGCCAGAGUGAAGUGGAAGUAGUGGGCGUACAGCUUUGGUAGGCGGUUCGAAAAGAAAGAUGUGAAAUCCCAUGGCGCAACCGUGGAAGUGCAGUUUGAGCUGCCGAGCUAGAGUAUGUCAGAGGGUGGUAGAAUUCCACGUGUAGCAGUGAAAUGCGUAGAUAUGUGGAGGAAUACCGAUGGCGAAGGCAGCCCCCUGGGAUAAUACUGACGCUCAGACACGAAAGCGUGGGGAGCAAACAGGAUUAGAUACCCUGGUAGUC